CGGUGUGAGCAUGUCUGAACACCUGCCUGCUAUUUCCUGGGAUUCUCACCAAAGGGAGAACACAACUUGUUUGAACUCGACAGGCCAGAGACUGAGUGAAGGGGAAGAUGACUGAACACACAGCACCGUCUGUUUCUGUUGUACAGUAAACUCUGAUAUGUUGUCAUGUGUACAAGUUGACUGCAGUAAAGGGAGAGGGCCAGUCUUGGACUUUGAAACGAGGGCACAGUUAAGACAAAACCACGCCCCGUUAUUCAGAGAGGUGUUCUACUACGCUCCCAGCGCAGAGACAGUGACCUUCCAAGAACCUUAUAAAGAGGUCUUCCACCGACCGCCAAAACAUCUAUUCUAAGAACAAUGGAAACCUGACGUAUCCAUUACAACCGACGUUAUCAGGAGCCGCCUAUAGAGCUACAACCAUGAAAGACAUUGUGACUUCUGGGGAAGUAACCAGAGAUUCUCUGAUGAACUGACUCUCCAGCAGACGGACCGACAAUUCCAACAGAGAAGACAACAACGAUGUCACGACUCCUACCGAAGGUGGCUCUCCUUCCUGUUCGGGUGGCGCUCGGCGGUCGUCGUCACCGGCCUACUAUAGCUGCCUCUAACCUUUUUCCCCCUUGUCUGUUUAGUAGUUACACCUGUGUUUAGUUAGGUUGAUUGGUUGGGCUUUAUUAUCCACCCGGCCCGCCUGCUGGGUGUGCAGGAUUGUUUGCAGUGUACGACUGUAUGUCACGGUUGUCCGUGUAUGUGUGUUUUGCGCUACUGUUUAGUUCCCCGUGUUUUGGGGCAUUUGUUUGGGUUGGCGUCGUUUUCACCGGUAUGGUGGAAUAAAAGUAUCGCUACCCUGAA